rnacentral:rRNA from 1 species
GAUGAACGCUGACAGAAUGCUUAACACAUGCAAGUCAACUUUGGCGGACGGGUGAGUAACGCGUAAAGCACUUGCCUCUCAGAUAGGGACAACAUUUGGAAACGAAUGCUAAUACCUGAUACUGUGAGAGGGCUUUGCGUCCCAUUAGCUAGUUGGAGAGGUAACGGCUCACCAAGGCGAUGAUGGGUAGCCGGCCUGAGACGGUGAUCGGCCACAAGGGGACUGAGACACGGCCCUUACUCCUACGGGAGUCAGCAGUGGGAAAUAUGGGACAAUGGACCAAAGUCUGAUCCAGCAAUUCUGUGUGCACGAUGAAGUUUUCGGAAUGUAAAGUGCUUUCAGUUGGGAAGCAGUACCAACAGAAGAAGUGACGGCUAAAUACGUGCCAGCAGCCGCGGUAAUAG